GGAUUAGAUACCCUGGUAGUCCACGCCGUAAACGAUGGGUACUAGGUGUUGUGAGCUUAACACUCGCAGUGCCGACGCUAACGCAUUAAGUACCCCGCCUGGGGAGUACGGUCGCAAGAUUAAAACUCAAAGGAAUUGACGGGGGCCCGCACAAGCGGUGGAGCAUGUGGUUCAAUUCGACGCAACGCGAAAAACCUUACCUGGUCUUGACAUCCGGAGAAUUCCUCAGAAAUGAGGAAGUGCUCGCAAGAGAGCUCCGAGACAGGUGCUGCAUGGCUGUCGUCAGCUCGUGCCG
rnacentral:rRNA from 1 species